UCCCUGGUGGCUCAGAUGGUAAAGCAUCUACCUGCAAUGCGGGAGACCCAGGUUCGAUUCCUGGAUCGGGAA
rnacentral:tRNA from 1 species